UCCAGACUCCUACGGGAGGCAGCAGUGGGGGAUAUUGGACAAUGGGGGGAACCCUGAUCCAGCGACGCCGCGUGAGUGAAGAAGUAUCUCGGUAUGUAAAGCUCUAUCAGCAGGGAAGAAAGAAAUGACGGUACCUGAGUAAGAAGCCCCGGCUAACUACGUGCCAGCAGCCGCGGUAAUACGUAGGGGGCAAGCGUUAUCCGGAUUUACUGGGUGUAAAGGGAGCGUAGACGGCAAUGCAAGUCUGGAGUGAAAGCCCAAGGCCCAACCAUGGGACUGCUCUGGAAACUGUGUAGCUUGAGUGCAGGAGGGGUAAGCGGAAUUCCUAGUGUAGCGGUGAAAUGCGUAGAUAUUAGGAGGAACACCGGUGGCGAAGGCGGCCUACUGGACUGCAACUGACGUUGAGGCUCGAAGGCGUGGGGAGCAAACAGGAUUAGAUACCCCAGUAAGC
rnacentral:rRNA from 1 species